CACCAAAUUGCUUUUUAUAGUCUUUGAUCCAUACGAUCUUGUUUGGUUUCCUGCAAACAUAUUAUCGGGUAUCUAGACUUUUCAACCAUUUCUCUAAUGGAUCUUUUCUUCUUGGGUUCCCCGGUUCCUCUGGUAUUCCAGCUUAGAAUCAUUUAUAGCACAAAAUAGAACUUUUUGAAUACACCCAGGAAAGGAUAAGGUAGG
rnacentral:lncRNA from 1 species